ensembl:lncRNA meiotic kinetochore factor
UAAUCAGGUGACUGUCAGAGAAACAACAGAUUUCAAGAUAAAAGAAAAGGAACAAGAAGAAAGAAGUGUACCACUGAAGGAAUCCAAAAUAAUCAACUUUGAAAGUAAAGGAUGUUUGAAAAACGCUGAAGUGACGUCAAGUACAGAAAUUACUCUUCCCACAGGUGUUUCCACCUUUCUGAUAGAUUGUUUAGAUGAAGAUUCAGCUGCAGAUUAUAGCACUGCUAGCAACAGCCUGAAGACUUAUUCAUCCCCUGAAACAUUCAGAAAUGACAGCCUGAAGACUUAUUCAUCCCCUGAAGCAUUCAGAGAUGAUGAUUUGGGUGACACUUUUGGAAAGAGGCAAUUUUUACUCCAUGGACCUUGGCAAGUACAAGAACUCUACUCUCCUGGACUCCAGCAAAGCAGUGACCAUAGAUAAGAUACCACAGAUCUCAAAUCUUUCAGCAAUAUUAGAACCUGUACCAGAGGAUUUUCCAGACCGAUGCGUGGCAAGAAAGAGAUCAUCAAAUUGCUAUUACAGUUCUUCAGCAGUAAGCAUUUCAACUACACUGGCAGGAAAAAAACUCUGUAAAAUAACAGCUGCAAGAGAGAGAACUCCAGACCUAAAAAGUGGUAUGCACUGUUCUUCACCAUUAGGACCGGAAAGCAAGCAUGAUAAACAAACAGCUAAAACCAAAAGGCGGAAGAAAGGAAAAAGCAGUUUUAAUUCCUUAGAAGAAGGUUCAUCAAUGUUUAGGCAGCUUGAUGCUCCAGAAGACACGUCAGUCAGAUCAAAGGGGUUGACAGCAGAAGUUCUGCCAACCAAAUGCACAGAUGCUGUGGAGUUUAGCUUGUCGCCGGUGUAUAAAGCCUCACCUGGGGAAGACCUGUUCCUGAAUACCACAGGUCCAUUUGUAAAUUCAGAAGAAAUUGGUCCUGUGUCUCUGAGCUCAGAAAAAGAAAUUAUUCCUCAAAGUCCAGAAGAAAAGAAUAUUUUAAAGCCUCUGUGUGACAGACAAGAAAUCUGCUCCAUUGUUAGAAUGUCACCAGGCCAGAGGCCUUCCCAGCUCCAGCAAGUUCCAAUUAACUGGAAAGAGUUCUGCCUUCCCAAAGGAGUACCUGAAGAUACUAUUACAAGUACCAAAAAUUGGAUCUACUGUAAACAAAGAUGAGAUUUUUGGCUGUCAGCAGGAGUUCACAGAAGAAAUGACCGUCUUGCUGCUGUGGCAGGGUGGUAAAACAGAACUCCUAACUAGUGAAUAAUGGUUGUAUUUUUUUUUUUUAUGUAUGUUGUUUGAAAUUUAGUAUUACAUGUUUCAGUAAGCUAGUAAAUACUCAAAUACUUUAUAUUAAAUUAUUUUGUACAGCAGCUAGAUCCUGUUCUGGGCAUUAUUCUGUAAGGAUUCCAUAAAGAUGAUUCUUCAGUUUGUUUAGAUUUUUAAAAAGUGUGACUGAAGACCAGCAGACCAAAUUGCUUUAAUAGAAUUACUUUUGUCUCUCUCUCUGCCAAGAUUUCUUGUUUCCUCUAGUAGCAUUAGCAUCUACAGAUGUUAACUCUUUAAGUGUUAAUAUUGGCUAUGAAGGUAACUGCAUAUCCUAGAAGUGACUAUGAAAGCAUUCAUGUACUCUUGGGGACCCAGAAGUCAAUGUAUGUCACCACUGAACUCCUUGAAUGCUUAGAUCUACAGAACUUUGGAGGUACAGAACUGUGUGUUCUGCUGUAAUUUGAUUUCUGAACAUGAAUGCAGGUCACCUUCACCCCAUCAUCACUCUGAAUUGGCUCCUAAUGAUCAGCACUGUCACCAUUCUGGGCACAUCCACUGCCCAGCCAUUGCCAUUUCAGAGUCCUUCUUGUUUCAUCUCAGGUAUGUUGUAAUACCACAUCUCUCGGUCAUUGUUUCUUCUAGUGGCUUCAGACUUAGAUAAAGUAAAUGCCUUACAUGAAUGCCCACAAUGGUGGGAAAAACCCUUUAAUAGCUGAACUGUUUGAUGAGAUGCAUAUUGACAUUCUGGAAUUUCAGGUUACUGCUCACACUGUGUCCACACAAGUCAAAUUCCCAGGGCUUCCUGUUCAGCUUGUGGAUUGUUAAUUCAUAAAUGUUGUUCUUAAUGUGCUGAAUGUCUCAGAAAACAUUGUCAAAACCACAUUUUUUUCCACUAGAAUUCAUUACACAUUAAAGUAAUUUGGACUCCUACAGUGUUCUUACUACAAUCCUUUACUCAGAUUUUAUCUGAACAAAAAGGAAAUUUUUCAAUGUUUCAGAAUGCUGGUAUGGCUUUCAAAAGUCUGAGUUUGUUUCUCAGUGUUAUCAGCCUGGAAAAUAGUUUUGUAUUUCCAAAAAGAGCAUGACAGGAAGACAUACAAAAUCCACAACUGUAGUUUGCAUUUGAAAAUACCUGUGAAAGUUCAAACCCUGAUCUUUUCUCCAUUGCUCUGGGGUAGAAGGAAGUGCAAAUAAUUGCUGCUGGAUUAGUUUGUGAACAAGUAUUAUAUAAACAUUCUAAAUGGCUCACGGUUAAAAAUUAUGCCAUUAAGCUAUUUUUCUUUUAAGCAUUAGUAGAAUGAGUUCUGCCAAUAACUCCUUGGAGUCCUGUCAGGUAUGCUUUUAAUUAUCAAUAUCCUUGUUCUUGCAAGUCUACUAAAGUCACUAGUAAUUAUGCGAGAAUCUAGAGCCCCUAGGAGACAGAGGUGAGCUCCUUGAUGUAGCUUUAAGCAAAAUUGAAGGUUACAUAUUUAGUAAGUUGUGCUCAUGAUGAUUAUUCAAGUAAAAGAUGGUCCAGAAUAAAGAUAUGUUUAUUGUAAGGGUAUUCUGGAAG